CGCUAUCACUCCUACGGGGAGUCAGCAGUAGGGAAUCUUCCACAAUGGGCGCAAGCCUGAUGGAGCAACACCGCGUGAGUGAAGAAGGGUUUCGGCUCGUAAAGCUCUGUUGUUAAAGAAGAACACGUAUGAGAGUAACUGUUCAUACGUUGACGGUAUUUAACCAGAAAGUCACGGCUAACUACGUGCCAGCAGCCGCGGUAAUACGUAGGUGGCAAGCGUUAUCCGGAUUUAUUGGGCGUAAAGAGAGUGCAGGCGGUUUUCUAAGUCUGAUGUGAAAGCCUUCGGCUUAACCGGAGAAGUGCAUCGGAAACUGGAUAACUUGAGUGCAGAAGAGGGUAGUGGAACUCCAUGUGUAGCGGUGGAAUGCGUAGAUAUAUGGAAGAACACCAGUGGCGAAGGCGGCUACCUGGUCUGCAACUGACGCUGAGACUCGAAAGCAUGGGUAGCGAACAGGAUUAGAUACCCUGGUAG
rnacentral:rRNA from 1 species